GAUGAACGCUGGCGGCGUGCCUAAUACAUGCAAGUCGAGCGAACGGACGAGAAGCUUGCUUCUCUGAUGUUAGCGGCGGACGGGUGAGUAACACGUGGAUAACCUACCUAUAAGACUGGGAUAACUUCGGGAAACCGGAGCUAAUACCGGAUAAUAUUUUGAACCGCAUGGUUCAAAAGUGAAAGACGGUCUUGCUGUCACUUAUAGAUGGAUCCGCGCUGCAUUAGCUAGUUGGUAAGGUAACGGCUUACCAAGGCAACGAUGCAUAGCCGACCUGAGAGGGUGAUCGGCCACACUGGAACUGAGACACGGUCCAGACUCCUACGGGAGGCAGCAGUAGGGAAUCUUCCGCAAUGGGCGAAAGCCUGACGGAGCAACGCCGCGUGAGUGAUGAAGUUCUUCGGAUCUUAAAACUCUGUUAUUAGGGAAGAACAUAUGUGUAAGUAACUGUGCACAUCUUGACGGUACCUAAUCAGAAAGCCACGGCUAACUACGUG
rnacentral:rRNA from 1 species